rnacentral:lncRNA from 1 species
CCGCGUCGCUUGCACGAAUAAUGGGCGUAGACCGGGCCGAGGAGGCGGCGGCGGAGCACAAGAAGCCGGCGGCGCAACCGCCGUCGCCGUCGCCGUGGGACCUCGGGAGCCCACUGUACGACGCGUUCGAGCUCGCGUCGGUGCACCGCGUCCUCGACAACCACCUGAUGGCGCUGCCGUUCGCGCGGCCUCCGCGGCGCCCGUGCGACGACGACGACGACGUGGCGGUUCUGGCGGUGGGCGUGGCGAGGAGGGCGACGGCGCGGAGCCGCCGCCGGCGCAGGCGGAGCGCCAUGGGCGUGGCGAACGCCGCGACGCGGACGGGCAAGGCGGUGCUGCGCUCCAUCAUCUGCGGCCGGAGGCUGUGACUGACUGCGGUGCGAGGACGCACCAGGAGCUGAGCCCGCCGGCGCCGGGCGUGUUCGCGCGUGCUGCCACGGCUAGCCAAGCAGCUACUGCUACGGGCUACGGCUACGGCGUCCGUGUCGCACUGCUGGGAGCAGGUGGAGCGGAGCAGGGCGAUCAGGCGGGUCGUUGGGAUUGGAUCGAUUUGGAUGGAGAUGGUUGGACAAAAUGUUACCGUCCAUCUGCAAGUUAGAUUUCCAUUGCCAUCGGUUCCUUUUCCUUUCAGAUUUCCUUUCGUUUUCGGUUCGUCAUGUUGACAGCGCGCGAUUAUUAUCUAUAAAUAUGUAUAAUUGUCAGCGAACAGUGAUGAAAAUACCUCGUCCGCAGGUGCGGCCAGACGUGUGUAACUGUCUUCCACAGGG